CUGACAGUGAAAUCAAGAUAAAUAAGGUAUCUGAAACUCACCAGUAGGGGAGCAAACAUGGAAGGAUACAGAAGCUCUCAGAUGGGUGUACUGCACACACAUAAGAUGGUGGAUUAGCAGAUUAGUCACUGUUUUCCUGAAGAUAACAGAAGACUGGAAACUGCCUACCAUUCACCAACUGGGCACGAUGAAGCUGUUACCAUGGUGAUAGGGUCCCGGAUGGGUGUCCAGGUUCUUGUGUGUAGGAAUAAAGAAUUGGACAUGGCAUGUGAAGGUGGACAACUUGGGCAGUGUUCAGAUGGGAGUUGAUUCACUCCAGCAAGCCAGCAUGGUUUUACAGCAGGAGAGUGGAUCAUCCCAGCAGGCCUGCGCCUUUACUUCUACUCAAGUUCAGGCUGGCUUCUGGCCGUGAGGAUGGAGCUGGACCUGUGGAGCCUGCAACAGUCCGCGCACCCCACACUGGCUCAACCCGGGCUCCCUGAGCUCCUGACACUGGAGCCCUUGGGGCCCUCUGCAGAGGCUUCCAGCCAAUCGCCCUGUCCUGGAGGGGUCCGAACCCCAACAACUCAUCACCUGCAUCCGCUGCUGCCCUCCCCUGUUCUUCUCCAUGGAGGACCCCACUUGCCAGUGGUCUGCAGGUUCAAGCCCCCUUCCCACGUGCGAGUCUGGGCUCGGGAGAAGGCGCUGUCCCCUACAGCCUCCUCCUUUGUUGGACACGCUGUCAUGCUCUUCCUGAG
rnacentral:lncRNA from 1 species